AAGAUACCGAAGGACGUUAAACUUAUUUUGAACCUACACUAUAUUUAAGGGAAUUCGCGUUUCCAUUCCUAUGGCGGGCCCACUUCGAUGGGAUUACAGAAGUCUGGAACAGAUAACCCACCUGGCGGAUUGCUAGGACUCAAAAUAAAUUUGUCUUUCGGUGUUUUU
rnacentral:other from 1 species